AAUGAACGUUGGCGGCGUGGAUUAGGCAUGCAAGUCGUACGCAUAGCUUCGGCUAUGAGUGGCGCAAGGGUGAGUAAUGCGAAGGUAACCAACCCUGGUGUUGGGCAUAGCCGCGGGAAACUGCGGGUAAUUCCCAGCGACGUCACGAGAUGGCAUCAUCUUGUGACCAAAAGGUGUGAUUCCGCUCUAGGACGGGCCUUCGUGGUAUUAGGUAGUUGGUGAGGUAACGGCUCACCAAGCCGACGAUGCUACCGGUGUGAGAGCAUGACCGGCACACUGGAACUGAGACACUGUCCAGACACCU
rnacentral:rRNA from 1 species